UUGAAACAGAACAAAGAUGCAUAAAAUUAAUCUUUUAUUACUGUAUUUCAUGUGUCUACCUUGAUAUCUUGCCUCCUUAUAGAAUUUCAGAUUUCCGCUUUAAAAGGUAAGGGAAAACAGCCUUAUAUUAAUACUUACAAGAUAUAUUCAUGGGGGUUUAUGUUAUCCUAUUUAUAAUUGAUAUGGAAUUGAGAUACAACAAAAACUUAAGAGAAAAGUAAUAUUUUUGAUAUCAUAAAGGUGAUAAAAUAUGAAGCAGAAAAAUGUGACAUUAAAUGAACAAAUGUCAUCUUAUGUUGGUGUGUUUCAACCAUGUCUACCUUCAUUCCUCCAAACAACUCUACUGAGAAAGUCCUGGUACCCUUUCUUGCUGUCACCAAGAAAACAAGCUUUUGCUGGAAGACAAAAAAUGAUGUCUAACUCACAGAAAAACUGUCCAUGAUUUUCAAGACUUUUCUUGUUACACCAUUUGGAGCUGUUGCAUCUAGCAAAGAAUCCACCUCCCAGUGCAGUUUCUGAGGACGUUUUGCUCUGAGGACUUCAAAUUCUUCUCAGCAUUUCAUUUGCAGGCAGCAAAUGCUCUUAUCUACUCACAUGCUGUCAAAACUAUGUCUUUUGUGUCCCAUGGAAGUUGUGUGAUGUGAGGAAGGUCCUCCCUAGAAGCCAUCUCUUGCACUGCAGGUGUUUGAGUUUUCCAGCCUGCUCGUA